rnacentral:rRNA from 1 species
AUUGAACGCUAGCGGGAUGCUUUACACAUGCAAGUCGAACGAGUGGCGGACGGGUGAGUAAUAUAUCGGAACGUGGCCAGUAGCGGGGGAUAACUACGCGAAAGCGUGGCUAAUACCGCAUAAGAUUGGAGCGGGCGAUAUCGGAUUAGAUAGUUGGUGGGGUAAAGGCUGACCAAGGCAACGAUCCGUAGCUGGUUUAAGAGGACGACCAGCCACACUGGGACUGAGACACGGCCCAGACCCCUACCGGAGGAAGCAGUGGGGAAGUUUGGACAAUGGGGUAAACCCUGAUCCAGCCAUCCCGCGUGUAUGAGAAGGCCUUCGGGUUGUAAAGUCCUUUUGGCAGAGAAGCGGUAUCUGCAGAAUAAGCCCCGGCUAACUACGUGCCAGCAGCCGCGGUAAUUC